AAUAUUUUUACCGUCGUUAUUUUUUAAUCAUAGUUACCUCGACAUUAAAUUAAAGUAUUUAAAAAUAACACCUAAACCAAAUGAGAUGAAUAAGGGUGUAUUGGAAAUAAAAGAGGUGAAGUCCCAAAAUAGCAAACUACAGAAGCCCGAAGGAGACCUUAAAAAACCUCAAAGAUUCAGAAUGGGCCCUAAGGCCCAAACACUUCCCGCAAUAAUAACAAAAAAAAAGAAACAAAAAAAGAGUCAGCGUGGGCCCUAAGCCCAACCUCUCCCUAGCCCAACAAGAGCUGUAACCAGCGAACUAGACGAAGAAACCUAAGGGCAGCUUGUGCCAUUUCGUCUUCUCAAAGCACCCACGUGGCAAGGCAAGGGAAAGUCAUACAAUGGAACAUCAGAAAGGAUCACAUGACCCUUUUUGGAUUCUCCACUGUUGGCCAUUAAAACAACGUUAAUGCCAAUAAAGCUAAACUUUGAAAAGAUAAACUGUACAUGCUUUGUCCAACCCAGGUCUUAUAAAUCCAAUAACCAAAUUUAAUGGACUUUAUGGGGAAUAAAAAAAACUCUACUUAAAUCAACAUAUGCAUUGUAACGGAUCCUUCCUUCCACCUUAAACACACACCCUGAACUUUUAAGCUAAAAAAAAUAAGAAAGCAAAAAGAAGAAAGAAGGCGAUGAACCCCACUCUUCGGUGUUCACCCUUACGCAACCUUCGAUUCACAAAAAUUCAACUACCUAAUUCCCAAAACAACAUCGAAUGCCAGCCUAUCCUAUUUCUAAAUCCCGAUCCGAUUCCUCCGCACCCUAUUCUCGCCGUAACGGAUGUGAGGUUCAGGUAACCAAGGUAUAAAAGCUUCUAAUGCCACUUUUUAUAUCCACCACCAAUAACCAAGAAAUUGACAAAUCAAAACAGAAGCAACAAAUCUAUGCAAAUGCUAUGACGUUUGAAACAAACAGAGAAGAUGAUUCGCACAACUAUUGACGCAUAUCCAUUGGCCGCGAGUAUACCUGGACCUUGGAUGUGACACACUCUUGCGACAAUCAUACGACCUGAGGUGCCACAGUUGUUAUAGUCUUGCCGUGGAGAACAUUUUGUAGAUAUAGAUAUGAGUGUGGUCGAAUCGUGCAAUGUUUGAUGUGCCAGAUUUUUCCCCUCUACGCCUUGAUGAUAGAAUUGGUCCAACCCUUCACAGGUUGUGGUAGCAUCCUAAACUUUUCGAAAUAUCCUCUCCGUGAUCGUUACGCUGCAGGUUUCUGUUUUACAACCGGCACAACUUGCUAUGUUCAACCUUCGUCUUCAUCGGGCCACUUUUGUUGGUAAUGUGUAGCGACUUGAGUUAUGUUAUCGAGUCAUUUGACCAUGCUCAAUCACGUAUUUGCAUCUCGAUUUGUUGUGUGUUGAUACUAAUUUAAAAUAAGAAACUCUCCAAACCAAUUGUGAUGUUAUUAGGAUUUAUGGAUUAUCUUGUACAUCAUCAAUUCUUGCUUGUAACAAACCAAUAUCCACGAGUAGUGCUAUUAGAUUUAUGGAUAUAAUUCCGUAAUAAAACUUGCUAAUGGUUUGGAUCUAGUCUUGUAGGUUAUGCAUCUGCUAGUACUUUCACUUGGCCGGAUAAUCCCGUCAACUUGUCCACUCUUUAAUCCAUGAUGCUUUUGCAAUAGGAUCCGUCAUCCAGAUUCUAGGAAGCUGCAUUUCGGACAUUGUACUUUUUGAGCAAAACCUUCUUCUCAACGUCGGUGAGCGUAUGAUAUGGCUAUACCAGCUAGUGCGUCGCGAUGUUUACCGGAAGUCUACUUUCCUCUGGCAGCCUCAACACUGAGAACAAAGACUUUUAUCAGGAGGAUUGUUUUGCCAGCUUCUGUUAUUAUUGUCGUUAUCUUGCAGUUUUGUAAUGUAACUUGGUUUAAUGGACUUUUGUAAUAUUCCUUUGGAUAAUUGAGACCUCUUUUUUCUUUUU